rnacentral:tRNA from 1 species
GCCCCGAUAGCUUAAUGGAUAAAGCUCCGGUCUUCGGAACCGGCAAUGGGAGUUCGAUUCUCUCUCGGGGCA